AGAACCACAGCAAUUGGGGGCCUGUAUGAGAAAGGGAAAUAGCACCUGACUUGGCUAGGGGAGCACAGGUAGCUAUGCCUGUCUUCUGCAAGGUACCAUGCUGGCUUUGGGCAGGAUUUGCCUUCCAUCAUUCCACUGACCUCUCAGGGAUAUGCCUUCUAUUAUGAUAUGGAAUUUUUAGCAUGUCAAACAAAUCCCUAACAUCUUCUCGAGAUCCAUAAGGAGAAGGCUUUCCUGCAACAGAAACUCUUGUCUUCACUACACGGGUCCUGCAGACUUCUUCCUGAUGUCCAUGAGGAAGAAGCAAGACAUGUUAGAAGGCUAUUGUGAUAGCCAUGUAAGAGAUGCAUGUGGCUUGGACCAGUUGGCCAUGGAUGUGAGUGAGGGUGGAAUCUGGUUGCCUGUUGAAGGCAGAGCCCAAGGAUUGUCUGAGGAAGCCCAUGUAGGGUAUGAAAGGCAAGAGUCAAGAACCACCCCAAG